rnacentral:ncRNA from 1 species
GCCCAGUGCUCUGAAUAUCAAAGUGAAGAAAUUCAAUGAAGCGCGGGUAAAUGGCGGGAGUAACUAUGACUCUCUCUCUUUGGGGUGUGACGAGGGGCG